UACGAAGGGGGCUAGCGUUGUUCGGAAUCACUGGGCGUAAAGCGCUCGUAGGCGGAUCUUUAAGUCAGGGGUGAAAUCCCGAGGCUCAACCUCGGAACUGCCUUUGAUACUGGGGAUCUCGAGUCCGGGAGAGGUGAGUGGAACUGCGAGUGUAGAGGUGAAAUUCGUAGAUAUUCGCAAGAACACCAGUGGCGAAGGCGGCUCACUGGCCCGGUACUGACGCUGAGGAGCGAAAGCGUGGGGAGCAAACAGG
rnacentral:rRNA from 1 species